AAAAAAGGGGAAAAGUGGAGUUGUUCAAUUUACAAAUAUUAAGCUUGUAUAAAUAACAUGAAAUCUUUCUGUUUCCCUUCAAAACAUAUGCCAAUCUUGAAGAUCACACUUAAUUUUCAGCGGUGUUACAUCUACAUAUCUAAAUCAUGUUAAUACCAAAUGAAAUAGUUAUGGUUUUCCUCCGCCCCCUUGGAGCAGUGGAAGGAAACCCCAUCUAUCGAGAAACUUUCAACGAGGGAAUAUUUUGGGGUCUGCCAUUUCACCACUGAUGCUGCAAGCACCAACGAGUCAUCUGCUUAAGACUCCUUUCCUUCCAGUGUCCGCCAGAUUACAAGUGAGGACACUGAGGUUGUAAGAGAACUAAUCAUAAAGGGACUGUGCGUAUAUCUUCACGAGGACCCAGCACACCUGUUCAUGGAAUAUG